rnacentral:ncRNA from 1 species
GAUAAUUGGCUUGUGGCGGCCAAGCGUUCAUAGCGGCGUAGCUUUUUGAUCCCUUGAUAUGGGUUCUUGCUAUUAUUGUGAAGCCAAAUACACCAAGCGUUAGAUUAUUCACCCAUGCAAGUAAAUGUGAGCUGGGUUUAGACCGUCAUGAGACAGAUU